CGCGCAGGCGGUGCGUUAAGUGUAUUGUCAAAGACACAGGCUCAACCUGGGGCAGGCAACACAGACUGACGGACUGGAGGCAGCUAGAGGGACGUGGAAUUCGGGGUGUAGCGGUGAAAUGUGUAGAGAUCCCGAGGAACACCAGCGGUGAAGACGGCGUCCUGGGGCUGACCUGACGCUGAGGCGCGAAGGCGUGGGGAGCGAACG
rnacentral:rRNA from 1 species